CCUACGGGUGGCAGCAGUGAGGAAUAUUGGUCAAUGGGCGCGAGCCUGAACCAGCCAAGUAGCGUGCAGGAUGACUGCCCUACGGGUUGUAAACUUCUUUUAUACAGGGAUAAAGUGAGGCACGUGUGCCUUUUUGUAUGUACUUUAUGAAUAAGGAUCGGCUAACUCCGUGCCAGCAGCCGCGGUAAUACGGAGGAUCCGAGCGUUAUCCGGAUUUAUUGGGUUUAAAGGGAGCGUAGGUGGGUUGUUAAGUCAGUUGUGAAAGUUUGUGGCUCAACCGUAAAAUUGCAAUUGAUACUGGCAGGCUUGAGUACGGUUGAGGUAGGCGGAAUUCGUGGUGUAGCGGUGAAAUGCUUAGAUAUCACGAAGAACUCCGAUUGCGAAGGCAGCUUACUAAACCGCGACUGACGUUGAUGCUCGAAAGUGUGGGUAUCAAACAGGAUUAGAUACCCUAGUAGUC
rnacentral:rRNA from 1 species